CCUACGGGAGGCUGCAGUGAGGAAUAUUGGUCAAUGGGCGCGAGCCUGAACCAGCCAAGUCGCGUGAGGGAAGACGGUCCUAUGGAUUGUAAACCUCUUUUGUCGGGGAGCAAAAGACGCCACGCGUGCCGUUCCGAGAGUACCCGAAGAAAAAGCAUCGGCAAACUCCGUGCCAGCAGCCGCGGUAAUACGGAGGAUGCGAGCGUUAUCCGGGUUUAUUGGGGUUAAAGGGUGCGCAGACGGAAGAUCAUGUCAGCGGUAAAAUUGAGGGGCUAAACACCUUCGAGCCAUUGAAACUGGUUGUCUUGAGUGAGCGAGAGGUAUGCGGAAGGCGUGGUGUAGCGGUGAAAUGCAUAGAUAUCACGCAGAACUCCGAUUGCGAAGGCAGCAUACCGGCGCUCAACUGACGCUCAUGCACGAAAGUGUGGGUAUCGAACAGGAUUAGAUACCCCGGUAGUC
rnacentral:rRNA from 1 species